AGUCCCAGUGUGUCAGGUCCUGGGCUGGGAUCCAUGUCGUCCUUACAACAGUUCAGCAAGAAACAUGUUAUUCGAUCCAUUCACUGAGGAGGAAACUGAAAUCACUCGGAGAGGAGGAGUGAUUCAGCCCCAAAUUCCAAAGUGGUAGAAAUGGACUUGGGCUUCCCUAAUGUCUUAGCUAGUCCCCCAUCUACCUGUCCAUUCCUGGGACAGGUGAGACAGGGGUAUAUGUCAGAGCCAUUCUUCCAGAUCAGAUGACCUGUUAAACUGAGACUUCUGCACCAUCUGAACCAUCAGUCACUCUCUGGCCCAGAGAGGUGGUGUUAUUUGCCAAGGACACACAGCAGGUGGCCAAGAUGGAGCCAAGCCAUUUUCCCCACUGCAGGGCUCUUUCCUGGCUGUCAGCUCCGAGUCCAGCCUCUCCUCGCAUUGCUGCAGACGCUUUCUGAGGAACUCGUUCUCCAUCUGAGCACAGUCGAAGCGCAUCUGCCACUCGUCUGCUGUUUAACGGAGUCAGGGAGACCAGGAUAAGAGGCCAAAUGAGUACCCCUGAUCUCCAUUCCCCUGGACAUCUCAAGGGCACAAAUUCUCUGGACACACGGAGGGAAUAAUGCUGACAUUUUAUAGAAGCUGACCCACUGGAUAUCCUUCUCACCCAACUCCAUUAGGCUGGGGAGAGUAAGAGGCACGGUGACAAGGUGGCAAAGAUGUCACCAUGCCAUCCAAUCACGAGGUCUCCAGGAAACUGUAUAAGAAGGACACCUCCAGAAACUCCUGGCACUACUGAACAAAUGUAUAAUAUCCCUGGGUAAAACCAAGAGUCCUCUCGCCUUCUCGCCAUUUGGUAACUGUUGUGCGCCUGACACAGCUUUACCCUCUUUGAAUGGGGAGAGCAGUAGUUUCUGUUCCACAGGUUGCUAUAAGGAUGAACUGUGAUCUCAUCAUUCCUCAUAAUAAUGGCUUAUCAAGAUGAAGUAAUGAUUACCAUUGCCAUUUUACUGAUGAUGAAACAAAGGCUAAGAGACUUGAAGAAUUUGCCCACAAUCUUGUAGCAAUGAAGGU
rnacentral:lncRNA from 1 species